GAUGAACGCUGGCGGCGUGCCUAAUACAUGCAAGUCGAGCGAACAGAUGAGGAGCUUGCUCCUCUGACGUUAGCGGCGGACGGGUGAGUAACACGUGGAUAACCUACCUAUAAGACUGGGAUAACUUCGGGAAACCGGAGCUAAUACCAGAUAAUAUAUUUAACCGCAUGGUUCAAUAGUGAAAGACGGUUUUGCUGUCACUUAUAGAUGGAUCCGCGCCGCAUUAGCUAGUUGGUAAGGUAACGGCUUACCAAGGCAACGAUGCGUAGCCGACCUGAGAGGGUGAUCGGCCACACUGGAACUGAGACACGGUCCAGACUCCUACGGGAGGCAGCAGUAGGGAAUCUUCCGCAAUGGGCGAAAGCCUGACGGAGCAACGCCGCGUGAGUGAUGAAGGUCUUCGGAUCGUAAAACUCUGUUAUUAGGGAAGAACAAAUGUGUAAGUAACUAUGCACGUCUUGACGGUACCUAAUCAGAAAGCCACGGCUAACUACGUG
rnacentral:rRNA from 1 species